rnacentral:lncRNA from 1 species
CAGCACAUGAGUUUCGAAUGACUAGGCUUAUUUAACCCUUUAAGCUUACUUAAACCCUUUUGAAAACACGAGUCUACAGGAACAUAGACCCGCUCUGAUACCACUAUGUAACACCCCAAUUUUCAUAAACUUUUCAAUAUAAAAUCUUUGAAAAAUUAAUAGAUAAAAUAAAAUUCCUUGAAUUAUAAAAGUUUAAACCAAUUUAAACCAACUUGCCAAAACUAAAGUAGUAUCAUAAAAUAAAAAAAAAAUAAAUAAAACGACAAACUAAACUUAACAAAUUCUACUAAAAUGUUCAAUGUAAAAUCCUUAUCACUAGUCAUUCUCCACUUCCAUGGCCAC